AUUGAACGCUGGCGGCAUGCCUUACACAUGCAAGUCGAACGGCAGCACGGGAGCAAUCCUGGUGGCGAGUGGCGAACGGGUGAGUAAUAUAUCGGAACGUGCCCAGUCGUGGGGGAUAACGUAGCGAAAGCUACGCUAAUACCGCAUACGAUCUAUGGAUGAAAGCGGGGGAUCGCAAGACCUCGCGCGAUUGGAGCGGCCGAUAUCAGAUUAGGUAGUUGGUGAGGUAAAGGACUCACCAAGCCGACGAUCUGUAGCUGGUCUGAGAGGACGACCAGCCACACUGGGACUGAGACACGGCCCCAGACUCCUACGGAGGCAGCAGUGGGGAAUUUUGGACAAUGGGCGCAAGCCUGAUCCAGCAAUGCCGCGUGCAGGAUGAAGGCC
rnacentral:rRNA from 1 species